GACGAACGCUGGCGGCGUGCCUAAUACAUGCAAGUUGAGCGCUGAAGGUUGGUACUUGUCCCAACUGGAUGAGCAGCGAACGGGUGAGUAACGCGUGGGGAAUCUGCCUUUGAGCGGGGGACAACAUUUGGAAACGAAUGCUAAUACCGCAUAAAAACUUUAAACACAAGUUUUAAGUUUGAAAGAUGCAAUUGCAUCACUCAAAGAUGAUCCCGCGUUGUAUUAGCUAGUUGGUGAGGUAAAGGCUCACCAAGGCGAUGAUACAUAGCCGACCUGAGAGGGUGACCGGCCACAUUGGGACUGAGACACGGCCCAAACUCCUACGGGAGGCAGCAGUAGGGAAUCUUCGGAAAUGGACGAAAGUCUGACCGAGCAACGCCGCGUGAGUGAAGAAGGUUUUCGGAUCGUAAAACUCUGUUGGUAGAGAAGAACGUUGGUGAGAGUGGAAAGCUCAUCAAGUGACGGUAACUACCCAGAAAGGGACGGCUAACUACGUG
rnacentral:rRNA from 1 species